GUAGGUGGCAGGCGUUGCCCGGAAUUAUUGGGCGUAAAGCGCGCGCAGGUGGUUCGUUUAAGUCUGAUGUGAAAGACCCCCGGGCUCAACCGGGGAGGGUCAUUGGAAACUGGGGAACUUGAGUGCAGGAGAGGAAAGUGGAAUUCCACGUGUAGCGGUGAAAUGCGUAGAUAUGUGGAGGAACACCAGUGGCGAAGGCGACUUUCUGGCCUGUAACUGACACUGAGGCGCGAAAGCGUGGGGAGCAAACAGGAUUAGAUACCCUGGUAGUCCACGCCGUAAACGAUGAGUGCUAAGUGUUGGGGGGUUUCCGCCCCUCAGUGCUGCAGCUAACGCAUUAAGCACUCCGCCUGGGGAGUACGGUCGCAAAGACUG
rnacentral:rRNA from 1 species